AGUCCCUCAGAUAAGCAUCCUGCAACCUGUAUCUCUACUCAGCUGUACAGCAGGUGAGGGGCAGCCACCUCCAACCCCUCCCCACUGCCUCCAUUCCUACUGCCCAGCUGUUUGUGUCCUGCUUCCCAAUGCUCCAAGGCAGACUGACCAGAAAAGUGAAUCGUGGAUGGAGAGAUUCUGCUUUGGAAUAACCUAAAGAGGAGAGGAAUAAUGGAGGGAUAAUAUUGUGGAGGAAGAGAAA